rnacentral:tRNA from 1 species
GAGAGAUGCUUGCAGCAACGAAGACUGCUAAUCUUCGCCCCCUCGGUUGGAAUCCGAGGCUCACUCG